rnacentral:rRNA from 1 species
CGGUCCUACGGGAGGCAGCAGUGGGGAAUAUUGCACAAUGGGGGAAACCCUGAUGCAGCAACGCCGCGUGAAGGAAGACGGUUUUCGGAUUGUAAGCUUCUUUUCUUAGUGUAGAAGCAAGUGACGGUAGCUAAGGAAUAAGCAUCGGCUAACCACGUGCCAGCAGCCGCGGUAAUACGUAGGAUGCGAGCGUUAUCCGGAAUUACUGGGUGUAAAGGGAGCGCAGGCGGGACUGCAAGUUGGCUGUGAAAUACCGCAGCUUAACUGCGGAGCUGCCUCCAAAACUGGAGUUCUUGAGUGGAGUA